UUGAACGCUGGCGGCAUGCCUUACACAUGCAAGUCGAACGGUAGAGGGGCAACCCUUGAGAGUGGCGAACGGGUGAGUAAUAUAUCGGAACGUGCCCAGUCGUGGGGGAUAACGCAGCGAAAGCUGCGCUAAUACCGCAUACGAUCUAUGGAUGAAAGCGGGGGGAUCGCAAGACCUCGCGCGAUUGGAGCGGCCGAUAUCAGAUUAGGUAGUUGGUGGGGUAAAAGCCCACCAAGCCGACGAUCUGUAGCUG
rnacentral:rRNA from 1 species